rnacentral:rRNA from 1 species
UAGUCAUAUGCUUGUCUCAAAGAUUAAGCCAUGCAUGUCUAAGUAUAAACACCUUAUACUGUGAAACUGCAGAUGGCUCAUUAAAUCAGUUAUAAUUUAUUUGAUGGUUAACUUACUACAUGGAUACCCGUAGUAAUUCUAGAGCUAAUACAUGCGUCAAGUCCCGACCCUCGCGGGGAGGGAUGUAUUUAUUAGAUAAAAAACCAAUGCGGCCUCUGGUCGGUUUUGCGGUGAUUCAUAAUAACUGUUCGGAUCGCACGGCUUCACGCUGGCGAUAGUUCAUUCAAAUUUCUGCCCUAUCAGCUUUCGACGGUAGUGUAGUGGACUACCGUGGCGUUAACGGGUAACGGGGAAUUAGGGUUCGAUUCCGGAGAGGGAGCCUGAGAGAUGGCUACCACAUCCAAGGAAGGCAGCAGGCGCGCAAAUUACCCAAUCCUGACACAGGGAGGCAGUGACAAGAAAUAACAAUACCGGUCAUUUUCAUGUCUGGUAAUUGGAAUGAGUACAAUUUAAAUCCCUUAACAAGGAUCCAUU